UACCAGCACCCCGAGUGGUCGGGACGAUUAUUGGGCCUAAAGCAUCCGUAGCCGGUUCUACAAGUCUUCCGUUAAAUCCACCUGCUUAACAGAUGGGCUGCGGAGGAUACUAUGGGGCUAGGAGGCGGGAGAGGCAAGCGGUACUUAGUGGGUAGGGGUAAAAUCCGUUGAUCCAUUGAAGACCACCAGUGGCGAAGGCGGCUUGCCAAUACGCGCUCGACGGUGAGGGAUGAAAGCUGGGGGAGCAAACCGG
rnacentral:rRNA from 1 species